GGCGAGUGAAGCGGCAAAAGCUCAAAUUUGAAAUCUAGCACUUUCAGUGUUCGAGUUGUAAUUUGAAGAAGGUAACUUUGGUUUUGGCUCUUGUCUAUGUUCCUUGGAACAGGACGUCACAGAGGGUGAGAAUCCCGUGCGAUGAGAUGCCCAAUUCCAUGUAAAGUGCUUUCGAAGAGUCGAGUUGUUUGGGAAUGCAGCUCUAAGUGGGUGGUAAAUUCCAUCUAAAGCUAAAUAUUGGCGAGAGACCGAUAGCGAACAAGUACAGUGAUGGAAAGAUGAAAAGAACUUUGAAAAGAGAGUGAAAAAGUACGUGAAAUUGUUGAAAGGGAAGGGCUUGAGAUCAGACUUGGUAUUUUGCGUUCCCUUCCUUUUUGGUUGGGUUCCUCGCAGUUUACUGGGCCAGCAUCGGUUUGGAUGGUAGGAUAAUGACAUUGGAAUGUAGCUUUACUUCGGUGAAGUGUUAUAGACUUUGUUGAUACUGCCUAUCUAGACCGAGGACUGCGUCUUUGACUAGGAUGCUGGCGUAAUGAUCUUAAGCCGCCCGUCUUGAAACACGGACCAAGGAGUCUAACGUCUAUGCAAGUGUUUGGGUGUAAAACCCGUACGCGUAAUGAAAGUGAACGUAGGUGAGAGCCUUUUAGGUGCAUCAUCGACCGAUCCUGAUGUCUUCGGAUGGAUUUGAGUAAGAGCAUAGCUGUUGGGACCCGAAAGAUGGUGAACUAUGCCUGAAUAGGGUGAAGCCAGAGGAAACUCUGGUGGAGGCUCGUAGCGGUUCUGACGUGCAAAUCGAUCGUCGAAUUUGGGUAUAGG
rnacentral:rRNA from 1 species